CAGUGUUCAUUCCUUCUGGAUCUGUACUCCCACAUGAAGGACUGUGAGACUAAAACAGGCUUGAGAGUUCUUCCAUCAGUACAGUCAGUUUUCCAGUCAGCUCCUGCUGUCUGGUACAUUGACCUCUCAAAGAGAAAGACCUCCAUCCUCCUGGAAGUGCUGAGACUCCGUCCAGAGAAGACUCCAGUGGAGCUGACGGGCUGUCCAGAUGAAGAGAGUGAAGUGAGGAGCUUCCUUCAGUGUCUGCCUCAUAUCUCACAGCUCAGGUAAAUGAAUUACUCUUCACACCACAGUGUACACCUGUUAAGGUUUGCUCCUCCAUCUGAAUCCUCUCACUGUAAGAUUGAAUUAUCCAAUAACACAUGAUGAUGAAAUGUGUAACAUACUCCCAGAAAUCCUAAUUUAGCUGAACAACUGCUUUCUGAAGUUUUUAAAAAUAUAGAAUGAAACAGGUCCAAACUUGUGAUGGUCUAUUUCAGUCUUUGGAGCUAAUUGAUGAUGAAUUAUUUACCAGUAAAUAAACAGCUGCUGAAUUAGAGGUUUGAAAGAUAUUCAUUUUGAAGAGUGAACGAGAUGAUUCAAUAACAGCAUGAAAAACAAUCUGUAUUAACCAAUCAAAUCAAUAAAUGUACCACAUGAAG